rnacentral:rRNA from 1 species
UACGGGGGGAGCAAGCGUUGUUCGGAUUUACUGGGCGUAAAGGGCGCGUAGGCGGUCGUGACAAGUCACUUGUGAAAUCUCCGGGCUUAACUCGGAACGGUCAAGUGAUACUGUCGGACUAGAGUACAGAAGGGGCAACUGGAAUUCUCGGUGUAGCGGUGAAAUGCGUAGAUAUCGGGAGGAACACCAGUGGCGAAGGCGGCGAACUGGGAAGAUACUGACGCUGAGGUGCGAAAGCGUGGGGAGCAAACAGG